GUAGGGUCCGAGCGUUGUCCGGAGUUACUGGGCGUAAAGGGCGCGCAGGCGGCGGUGUUGGCCCGGCGUGAAAGCCCCCGGCUCAACCGGGGAGGGUCGUCGGGGACCGCACCGCUUGAGGGCGGUAGGGGCUGGUGGAAUGCCUGGUGUAGUGGUGAAAUGCGUAGAGAUCAGGCGGAACACCCGUGGCGAAGGCGGCCAGCUGGGCCGUCCCUGACGCUGAGGCGCGAAGGCGUGGGGAGCGAACGGGAUUAGAUACCCCGGUAGUCCACGCAGUAAACGAUGCCGACUAGGCGUGGGGGGAGUUGACCCCCUCCGUGCCGGAGCCAACGCGGGAAGUCGGCCGCCUGGGGAGUACGGCCGCAAGGCUAAA
rnacentral:rRNA from 1 species